CCUCUUCUAAUCUUCUUUCUUCUUGUUUGAACAGCAGAAACCAGAAAUCGUAGCUGUUGCCACCACUCCUCUCCCAUCGCCGUCGUCUAGUAUGACUAUCUAUUUAUCUUUCUUCUUGUUUCUAAAAGAAAACAAGAACAGAUCAACAGACACUCAGUGACUCAGACAGAACCGAACCAUUUCUCCUCUCCAAUCGUUAUUGUCGUCGCUCGUCGACCGGUUCUAUUUCUCCCAUGUCGUUGUUGUGGUCUGGUUCUCUUUCUCCCCCCAUUCUUCUCAUUCUCUGAAUCUGAAUCUUUAGGCUCUGGUUUUCUUCUCCCUUACAGUUCAACAGUGGUAGAUUUGCUGGUAGAUUGGGAGACCACAGAAGACCAGGGUCAAGCAACAUCAAAAAACAGGUCAAUGAGGUGUAGAUACUAAAACAGAAUUGGAUAAAUAUUUAGGGGAGGAAUGUGAAGAUUCGAAAAAUAAAUCAUUUGACAUAUUGGCUUGGUGGAAAGUUAAUCGUCUAAAUAUCAAGUACUUCCUAUGAUAGCUCGAGAUGUGUUACCUAUGCCUGUAUCUACAGUUGCAUCUGAGUUGGCUUUUAGUACUGGAUGAUGUGUGCUUGAUUCAUUCCGUAGUUCUUUAACUCCAAGAAUGGUGGAAACUAUCAUUUGUGGACAAGAUUAGCUACAAAUAUCACAUGGCUACCUUCAUUUAGAGGAGAGUUUAGAAGAACUUGAGAGUAUGGAUUCAGAAAUAUCAUGUAUCAGUGAGGAGCAUCCUCUUAUUGUUGUUGAUGAUUGAAUGUUUAUGGUUGUGGUCUUGUGGAUCUCAUUAAAUUUAAACUUUCAUGUUUGUGGACGUUGUUUAAUGUUUAUAGUUGUAAAUUUAUGAUUUGUGAACCUUGUUAAAUGGCCAAGUGUUAAAAGAAAUAUCUUGUUGAAUGUUU